rnacentral:rRNA from 1 species
CCUACGUGAGGCUGCAGUAGGGAAUCUUCCACAAUGGGCGAAAGCCUGAUGGAGCAACGCCGCGUGGGUGAAGAAGGUCUUCGGAUCGUAAAACCCUGUUGUUAGAGAAGAAAGUGCGUGAGAGUAACUGUUCACGUUUCGACGGUAUCUAACCAGAAAGCCACGGCUAACAACGUGCCAGCAGCAGCGGUAAUACGUAGGUGGCAAGCGUUAUCCGGAUUUAUUGGGCGUAAAGGGAACGCAGUCGGUCUUUUAAGUCUGAUGUGAAAGCCUUCGGCUUAACCGGAGUAGUGCAUUGGAAACUGGGAGACUUGAGUGCAGAAGAGGAGAGUGGAACUCCAUGUGUAGCGGUGAAAUGCGUAGAUAUAUGGAAGAACACCAGUGGCGAAAGCGGCUCUCUGGUCUGUAACUGACGCUGAGGUUCGAAAGCGCGGGUAUCGAACAGGAUUAGAUACCCGGGUAGUC